rnacentral:rRNA from 1 species
GCUAAACGCGAAGAACCUUACCUACCCUUGACAUCCUGCGAACCCUGGUGAGAGCUAGGGGUGGCCGAAAGGAGCGCAGAGACAGGUGCUGCAUGGCUGUCGUCAGCUCGUGUUGUGAGAUGUUGGGUUAAGUCCCGUAACGAGCGCAACCCUUGUCCUUAGUUGCCAGCAAGUAAAGUUGGGGACUCUAAGGAGACUGCCGGUGAGGAACCGGGGAGGGACGGGGACGGACGUCAAGUCAUCAUGGCCUUUAUUGGGUAGGGUUACGACACGUGCUACAAUGGGGCGGUACAGAGGGUAGCGAACCUGCGAAGGGAGCCAAUCUCAGAAAGCGUCUCGUAGUCCGGAUUGGAAUCUGCAACUCGACCCCACUGAAGUCGGAAUCGCUAGUAAUCGCGGAUCAGCAUUGCCGCGGUGAAUACGUUCCCGGGUCUUGUACACACCG